UUUACGCCUAUUCUUUAGCCUCCUUGAUGGCAGUUUCUUGUUUUCAAUUUCAGUCCAUCUAUUACUCAAUUUCAAGAAUCCAAGUAAGUGUUGGUCUCACUCAGUUGAAUAAAAAUCAAGAAAAUCUUGAUUCACCGGACGAGGUUAGAUCCAAACAUCGUAACGAUCCAUCAGUGAUGGAUAAGCUCCGUGAGAAAUUGAAAUCAAAAUCUCAAGUUCAACAUUCACCCAAAGAAGCCAACAAGAAGAUUGAAGGAGUUUCAACACGCCCUUUUUUUUAAUGGAAUGAAGUACGUCAUCAAGAAGAUCCCCUCACACUCCCUAAGAUUCGGCACUGCAUAUACGACUAAUUUUAUUGAUGAUUUCAAAUCAUAAAUAAGUGAUGAAUCUAUACAAUUAUUUCGACAAAUCAUACUUGGUCACUAUCUAGAUAUGCCACAGUGCAAUUUUCAAGGGCAAAUCAUCAAAUGCCUCUUACUUCUUGAGG